GUAUGUUUCUUUUUCUUUUACCAGUGGGUUGCAUAGUCAGCAGGCUCAAAUAUCUUAAAAAACAUUGCAGCACUAUUGCAUGUGAACAUGGUAUUCCUUUAAGCUGUCAUGAUCUACACGUGCAUGUAUUGUGGGAGAAGUCAACAAUAUGUUUGUAAACCCCAUGUUGUAUCUCAUACCCAGUGUCCCCAUUCCAUUUAAACUCAUGCUUAAUAGCAUAUUGAGAUUGUUCCUUUAUGUACCUCAUUGCCAUAGGAGAUACAUCAGAAAUCCACCUCAUUGCAAAUUCUCUCAUGGUAGUCAUCCUCUCUAUCACCUUCAGUCUAAUAUCUUCUAACAUUGUUAUGGUAGAUUUGUGCCUAGCAAAAACGAUCCAAUCGUUAAAGGUCUCACAUAUGUUGUUCUCCACCAGAAUUACAUUUACU
rnacentral:lncRNA from 1 species